rnacentral:rRNA from 1 species
UACGUAGGGUGCGAGCGUUAAUCGGAAUUACUGGGCGUAAAGCGUGCGUAGGCGGUUUGUUGUGUCUGCGGUGAAAGCCCCGGGCUUAACCUGGGAAUGGCCAUGGAAACUGGCGAGCUGGAGUGUGGCAGAGGGGGGUGGAAUUCCGCGUGUAGCAGUGAAAUGCGUAGAGAUGCGGAGGAACACCGAUGGCGAAGGCAGCCCCCUGGGCUAACACUGACGCUGAGGCACGAAAGCGUGGGGAGCAAACAGG